AGCGAACGCUGGCGGCAGGCUUAACACAUGCAAGUCGAGCGCCCCGCAAGGGGAGCGGCGGACGGGAGAGUAGCACGUGGGAACAUACCUUUUGGUUCGGAACAACUGAGGGAAACUUCAGCUAAUACCGGAUAAGCCCUUACGGGGAAAGAUUUAUCGCCGAAGGAUUGGCCCGCGUCUGAUUAGCUAGUUGGUGAGGUAACGGCUCACCAAGGCGACGAUCAGUAGCUGGUCUGAGAGGAUGAUCAGCCUCACUGGGACUGAGACACGGCCCAGACUCCUACGGGAGGCAGCAGUGGGGAAUAUUGGACAAUGGGGGCAACCCUGAUCCAGCCAUGCCGCGUGAGUGAUGAAGGCCUUAGGGUUGUAAAGCUCGUUUGCCCGGGAAGAUAAUGACGGUACCGGGAGAAUAAGCCCCGGCUAACUUCGUG
rnacentral:rRNA from 1 species